GGAUUUCAAUAUAAAUAUAAACGCAUUCAGUACGAAUAAGCAUGCUAACUUGAAACGUUUCAAUCAUGAGACUCACAAUAUUUGUUUUUCUUCUCAUCUCCUUCGUCAUUGCUGUUACAGGUUUCCCAGACCCUUCCAUUCAUGACCCAUCACUCUGCUCACCUUCAGAAUGUAACUCCAAGUGCUCACCAUAUGGAGGGUUUUGCCAAUUGACCAUAUGUUACUGCCAAAUAUGAGUUAUUGAAAGCAGAAAAGCUUCAUGAAUUGUUUUAUUCCAUUCAAUAAAUUUUGGAUCAUCUA